rnacentral:rRNA from 1 species
AUCCUAAGGUGAGCGAGCGAACUCUCGUUAAGGAACUCGGCAAAAUGACCCCGUAACUUCGGGAGAAGGGGUGCUGACUUCGGUCAGCCGCAGUGAAUAGGCCCAAGCGACUGUUUAUCAAAAACACAGGUCUCUGCAAAAUCGUAAGAUGAAGUAUAGGGGCUGACGCCUGCCCGGUGCUGGAAGGUUAAGAGGAUGGGUUAGCUUCGGCGAAGCUCAGAAUUGAAGCCCCAGUAAACGGCGGCCGUAACUAUAACGGUCCUAAGGUAGCGAAAUUCCUUGUCGGGUAAGUUCCGACCCGCACGAAAGGCGUAACGAUUUGGGCACUGUCUCAACGAGAGACUCGGUGAAAUUUUAGUACCUGUGAAGAUGCAGGUUACCCGCGACAGGACGGA